UUUGCCAGAUCCACACAAAGGAGUUCAGCUCUACGUGGAGAAACAAGAGAAAAGUCCAAAAGAGUAGAGAGCAAAAUGGGUAUCAGCCAGUUACUGAAUAAGCCUUCAGAUGGGGAUAAAAAAAAGAAUCCAGAAUAUCAAGUGGUCACCCUGCAGCCGAAAGUUCAAGUGAUCAACACUCCACUGGAUAAACCACUGCCAGAUCACAUGUGUUUCUCCAUCUUCACCACGCUGUGCUGUUUUUUACCUGUUGGCCUUGCUGCUUUGGUUUACUCCAUCACAACUCAAAAUGCAAACCUGCUUGGACACCGACAAAUUGCAAAAAAAAACUCCAGAAUUGCAUGCAAACUUAACUAUAUCAGUCUUCGUAUUGGCGUGACAAUAUUUUUGUUAGUUGUCAGCUUUUAUAUUUUUUUUGGCCUACUAUAAAAUAAAAGGGUUCCUUGUCUUUAGCCGUAUACCUUUUGCUGGGAAAUGAAUAUUCAUUUAGCUUCAGGAAGUAUGAACACACAUUAAUGGCCCAUAUUGACAUUAAAGGAACAGUAUUUAAGAAAUUUAUAUCAACUAAUCAUAAAAUGGUCCUGAUAUGUCACUAGACAUUAAAAAAAUAAUUUUCAUUUCAAAUACAUAUAUCACUGACAACAGUGGUCCGGCUAGGAUAUUGUCAUUUAAAAAGUGGAGUUGCAGCCCUCAACUGAUGUUUAUGUUGACAUGUUGUGUAUAAACCCCUUCACGGUUCACGUCACAGGCGGUUCCCACUGCGCAUGUCGGGGUCAGAAAAGUCAUUUCAGCAGAUUGAGUUGCGUAUUAUUCGGUAUCGUCAAAAAUGCCUACUUACGUCGUGGGCUGUGAAAAUCGCACCAGGUCUUCCAUUAAGUUUCUGUGGCUGCAAGCAAUUAACGUGCAGACUGGGACAAUGCAAAGAUCAAAGAGGCUUCUGUUUGUAGUGCUCACUUCAUUUGAGGCAAGUCAUAAUUUUUCAGCCCUGUUAGAUUAAAUUAUAAAGCCUGGAUGGUAUGAACAGUUUGAUCCCAUGCUGCGCGUGCACCCGAUAGUCAUUCAAUGUUUACAAACCUUGAAGGGGUCUAUUGGCCACCAGUUGUGUGAUUGCAGUACCAGUUUUAGCCACAAGUUUUGUGAUUGCAAUAUCAGUUUUGGCCACAAUCCUACAUACUGUUCCUUUAAGUUACUGUCAUACAACUUCUGAGGACUGUGUGUGGGAGAGAGAGCUCGCCGUAUUGUUGUUGAUGAACUUUUGAAUAACUGUGAUAUUUGAUGUUUGCAAGAGACUUUUUUAUCCAAGCAAGACUUGGAAAAAUGUUAAUCUUUUGAUAGAAAAAUUUUUAUGGAGCUGCUGAAUCCACAACAGAUUCUGGUAUGGGGUUUAUUAAGUCUUUAUUUUUAUACAGAUGUUUUGAAGUUAAUUACUUAAUGUUUUUAACAAUGAAAUCUUUGAUUGUGAAACAAAAAAUGUACCAUAAGGUGAAAUGUUUUUUUCUCUAUAUUUUAAAUAGAUAUUGUAUAUACAUUAACGCUUAGUAUUUGAUUCUAAGCAGAUAUGUACUUGCUAUCAUGUUUUUUUUUAGAAAAGUGCAAAACUAUUGACUUUUAUACAUUGAAGUGGAUUUUUUUGCAAUGGCUUUAAAAAACCUCUCCCUAUGUUUUGGGUUGUUCUUGUAACUUUCUUAUAACGUUUCUGGAAUAGCACUAUAUAAACAAUGCUUUUAUAAAGGUCCAGUUUCAAUAAAGGUUAUUAUUAGACCGAU